AUGAAAUACUCACUUUUCACAAUCCACGAUGAAAUCCCAUGCCUGUUAUUUACAUCUCUGAAUACUGGGUUGUUUGAAUCUACAGUAAAUGUAAUCUGGGACGCUUCAUGUGUCAUCUGUGUGUUGAUAUCUGAGUCAUUCGAGUCCAGAUCAUCGUGUGAAAUGUCUGUGAAACGUUUGCUCAGCGAUGUGUGUUUUGAUCAGAUGAUGCCGGCUGAGAUAGAGAGCGAUCUGCAGGUGUUUGAGGACGUUCUUCUCAUCGGUCAGGAAAGGUGUGUGGAGGACUGGCCUGAACACAGUCCAGAGCUCUCUUCAGAGCGGAAACCUGCGGGGAAGUUCAGGCUCCGGAGAGACUCUGUGAGGAUUGCAGACGCGCCUGAUGGAGGUGGCGACGGGACGGGGAAGAAGAACGGGAAGCAGACUCUGGGAAGGAAACUGAAACACUCGCUGCUGAUCAGGAGGAGCUCAAAGGUAAAAGACAGGACAAGUGUGUCAUUUAUCCACACAUCUUUCUAA
rnacentral:lncRNA from 1 species